rnacentral:ncRNA from 1 species
UAUAAUUAAAGCGCCCGGGCUCUAUAAUGGAGUUGACGAGGUGGGGAGUAAUCGAAUUAUCGGCGGAUCUUCCCAGGCUUAAAGUAUUAAGUCUCAGCUGAUUUUCCAAAACCUACAAGUGAUUGUGGGGACAACA